GGGCCCAGGGUAAGGCAAAGGGUUUUGGUUCCGUUAUUUGGGGGUUUGAAUCCUUCCCUUCCAGA
rnacentral:tRNA from 1 species